AAAAAAAAAAAAAUGUUUAAAAAUCUUUCCAGAGUCUUAACUUCCAACCAGGACAGAAAUGUUUAGAAUGGCACCCAUGCCCCAUUGCUCUAAACAUGGCUUUGUCUGAGGAUCCCACCGUCAUGAAGGCACUAGCUUGUGAAACCCAAACACCCCCCCCCAUCUCUUGUCACCUUGCAUGUAAGACAGCAAACAAAAAUCCACAAAGUGUGUGAACUAAUUAAUAUGCUGGCUGCUACCUUGCAUACAUUAAUGAUUUGAUCACACGGGUGUUUCAUGAGGUUACAUCUGUGAAUAGCCUGUUCUCCACAUGUAAAUUUGUGCCUUACACCCUGAGUUGUAUACACUUGUAAACUGUCGUUAUGAUCAACUUUCUUUUCCUACUUGAAAUAAAGGCAGAUAUUUAUUUAAACCCUGCCCUCCAUUCAGCCCUCUGGAAGACUGGAGACAAGCAAAUGGGAUAAACAAGGUAGUGAUGGUUAUAAUGCCCACGGCUGGGUGACACCCUUUAGUUCACGCUGCCUUCUGUUGUGCCAACUCCAACCACCCAUGGACCCCCGCCCCCCCCCCCGCAGUGUUGUGGGUGGAAAAAUCCCCUUUCCCAGAGCCCACUGCUCCUUUAUAUUCCCAGAUCAUUUCAACAUGGUGACAUCUUCCGGAGCCAGCAGAGAAGAGACUAAAGUUUCAGCUCUCCUUUCUGCUGUGUCCACUGACUGGAGAAUCUUGCUGUAGUAGUUGGGCAGACAACUGAGAGGAUUCUCCGAGCUGUGCUUUCAGCACACCCAGGAGAUGCACAGAGAAUCAACUGAGGAAAUAGACCAAGCAGGCUGGUCCCUGCUAUGAUUAGUGGGUACCCCAAAAUACAAGCAAACCACAAUGGAUGCUGUAAAAUCCAUUUCUGGGGCAAAAGUGUUUUUUGUUUGUUUCUGUUUUUUGGUUGUUUUUUUUUUUUUAAUUUUUUUAUCUGUUUGUUGUUUGUAGAGGGUUGGGAGGGGUGGCGAGUGUGGGUUUUGUUUUUUUUUUUUCUUCCUUGGUUUUCAUUUGCUAAAGCACACAGAAGAAGCCUUUGUUUACUCUCCCAUGAACAAAAGAAUUGUCUGCACACUGUAAACCAUGAGCAUUGUUUUCAUAUAAACAGUUUAUUUGGUGGUCUCUUUGUCUCUUUCAUUUUCCAGUUUAAUCUGGGUUUAGUUUUGUCUUUAAAAUAAUAGUAAUAAAAAGACUUUCAGAAAAAACAAAGAUUGACAAGGACAAAUUCAAAUUGGUUAUUGAAGAUUCCUAUGUUGCAUCCACCAUCAGAGCAGUCAUGCCAAGCCUCUGGUGUACGAGGACAGGGGCAUAGCCCUUUGUUCCAAGACUUGCCUCAGACCAGCUAGACUGUUGUUUGGGAAAACUAAGACGUCACUAGGUUUUACUUUGCUUUUUAGUGGAGUCAUUGUUCAUGGUCUGUCAUCAUUGUACCCUGAAGCCGUGAAGGCUUUUCUAGAAACAGCUAGCCUUCUCCAUUUCCUUUUCUUCACAAAUACAAACAUUAAAAAGGAGGUGGGUGUCUGCCACCCUGAUACCCUCUCUUCACGUUUGACUCCCAAGAGUAUUGCCCCAACCUCAUUCCUGAGCUGUGUUAAGGAGACCCGUGUCAAAACCCACACUCCCACAUCCCACACUCCACUACUUUCGGUGUUAACCCCACAGUGCCACAUGUAUUGAGCUGGUCUUCUGCUUUCCCCUGUCCCUCUCCCUUUCCACCCUCACCUUGCAUUGGGGGUCACGAGGGAGGGGGAGUUGUCCAUAAACCUUAGCGUGCCUUUGCUUUCCUCCCUGGCUAGACACUGUUUGAUGCGACAAAAGCAGACUUAUAUUGGUUGUAAAGUUGUAAAAAAUAUUGUGUCACCAACUUUCCUUCCGUCUCCACACAUCCUAACAUCUGAUUCACAGUUUAAUGUAUGUGGUAAAAAAAGAUGAAAAAGAAAAGAGAAUGAAAAAGAAAGGGGAAAGAGGAAAAAAUCAAGGAAAGGGCUCUAUUGCUUAAGAGUAAUAAAACCAGACUGUUCUACGUU
rnacentral:lncRNA from 1 species